rnacentral:rRNA from 1 species
GACGGAGGGUGCAAGCGUUGUUCGGAAUUACUGGGCGUAAAGGGCGCGUAGGCGGUCUGUUAAGUUCGGUGUGAAAGCCCCCGGUUCACCUGGGGAACUGCGCCGGAAACCGACAGACUCGAGUACCGGAGAGGAGGGUGGAAUUCCUGGUGUAGCGGUGAAAUGCGUAGAUAUCAGGAGGAACACCGGUGGCGAAGGCGGCCCUCUGGACGGAUACUGACGCUGAGGCGCGAAAGCGUGGGGAUCAAACAGG